GGACCGCGACGGGAUGACCAUUGCGUGAGGAUCUGCCCUUAGGUGGGGGAUAACAGUUGGAAUCGGCUGCUAUACCGCUAUAGAGAGAGCUAACAGAUUUAUUGCCUAGGGAUGAACUCGCGUCUGGUUAGCUAGUUGGUGGAUUAAUGUUUUACCAAGGCGACGAUCAGUAGCUGGUCUGAGAGGAUGAUCAGCCCCACUGGGACUGACUCACGGCCUAGACUCCUACCGGAGGCAGCAGUGGGGAAUUAUCCGCAAUGGGCGCAAGCCUGACGGAGCAACGCCCCGUGGGGGAGGAAUGUCUGUGGAUUGUAAACCCCUUUUCUCACGGAACAUGUUCUGACGGUACCUGAUGCAUCUUUAUCCGCUAACUCCUUGCCCGCAACCGCGCUAAGACGGAGGAUGCUAGUGUUAUCCCGAAUUAUUGGGCGUAGAGCGUCGGUUGGCGGUUUAUCACGUCUGCUGUCAAAGACUACGGCUUAACUGUGGGCCGCGGUGGAAACUGAGGAACUGGAGUGCGGUAGGGGUAGACGGAAUUCCCACUGUAGCGGUGAAAGGCCCAGAAAUUGGGAAGACCACCGGUGUCGAAAGGCGCUCUGCUGGGCUCAACUGAUGCUAAGGGACUAAAGCCUAAUGUGAGCUAAAAGGGAUUAGGAUACCCCUGAGGUCCAACCUGUAAAACCAUGGAACCCGAGGGGGUUGGGCGGUUCCAACCCCUUCUUGUUCCUGGAAGCCCACCAUGAACAAUUAUGCCCGCCCUGGGGGGAGAAUCAAAUGCAAGU
rnacentral:rRNA from 1 species